rnacentral:lncRNA from 7 species
CUUUUCACAGAAGCUUUCAUUUCAAAUUCUGAGAGCUGAACGUGGAACCCAGCAUGGAGGAGAAGAGAUUUUACUAUUCCAUAAGUCAGUGGGCAGUUGUGGAAGGGACCUUCUUCUCAACAUUAUCUUAUCCAUCAGAUCCUCUUGAUCUCUUCUUGGAGCCACUGUAGCAGGGGUUUGAGGUCUUCUGGAUGUUCUUCAAAAAAGGCAGCCCAGACCUCAUGUGGGAAGUUGUGCUCAGGAUGCGGGAGCACGGGCUCUGCAGACACCUGCUCACCCUGCAGGCCAUAACCUGUGCAUGCUGUGAGCUGCAGUACAGAAGAUUCAAAGUAAUCAUCACCUGACUGCACUGAAUAUUGGAUGGCCCUGAUCUUGUGCCUAUGUGAGGCACAUCUCAGCAUCUUCUUGGCCCAUGAGAACACACAGCUGUAGCAAAGUUGGUGGAGACAGGGGGUCACGUAGGUGACAUCAUCCCGACUUUGACAGACAGGGCAGGUCCAUUCUGAUGGCUGGCUGAAUGCUUCUUAAAAUUACGUAAUUUACUUCCAGAACUAUAUAUACGGAUAGUUUAACUUGAUUCUCACCUGCAACUACUGAAAAUUAAAAAUAAGUACAAUUUUCUUAAUUUUCAACGUUUGUUGAACACUUAUCUGUUGUUUCAUCUCCUUAGCAUAUCUUGUGAACUGCCUAUGGGAUUCUGUGUAUGCUAGUAUAGUUUAGAUUAAAAUGAUUUUCUGAUUGUGAUGAUUGCUGAAAAGAGCCUAACUGCUAUUGAAGAUGGUCAGUUUCCAGGGUACUGGAUUGCUUUCUUAGAUAUACUUUUUAAAAUCUUUGUCAACAUCUUAGAAAUCUAGAAUUUCCAAGAGUAACUGUGUAAUAUAUUCUUUGUCAGCAAGUGCUUCCAGUUUGAAGUAAACUACUCUGGGGGAGCAAAUUGGAGUAGUACUCUGCUGAAGCUGUGUAUUUAAAGGAGAAUUAUGCAUAGUGCACAUAUUUUGCCAGAUCGAGAUAGUUACUUGGAAUUCAUAAAUGUUUCAACAGCCUGAAGCACUAUUCUGUAAAAACACAUAAAGAUAUUUGUCCU